GUGGGGAAUAUUGGACAAUGGGCGCAAGCCUGAUCCAGCCAUGCCGCGUGAGUGAUGAAGGCCUUAGGGUUGUAAAGCUCUUUCGCCCGCGAAGAUAAUGACGGUAGCGGGAGAAGAAGCCCCGGCUAACUUCGUGCCAGCAGCCGCGGUAAUACGAAGGGGGCUAGCGUUGUUCGGAAUCACUGGGCGUAAAGCGCACGUAGGCGGACGUUUAAGUCAGAGGUGAAAGCCUGGAGCUCAACUUCAGAACUGCCUUUGAUACUGAACGUCUCGAGUCCGGGAGAGGUGAGUGGAACUGCUAGUGUAGAGGUGAAAUUCGUAGAUAUUAGCAAGAACACCAGUGGCGAAGGCGGCUCACUGGCCCGGUACUGACGCUGAGGUGCGAAAGCGUGGGGAGCAAACAGGAUUAGAAACCCCUGUAGUCC
rnacentral:rRNA from 1 species